GCCUCUCACAGCAAUACCCCACUCCUGGUACCAACUUCUGUCUUAGUUACAGUUUUACUCCUUCGAACAGACACCAUGACCAAGAACUACUGUCAGGUGUUGCUCGCAAGACAGAGACUGGAACAGUUCUACACACAACAGCGAUGACACUGAAUGAGGAAGCAGUCGGUGGAUAAUAACAGGAGAUGUGGCGAUCCCAAAAAUCAGAAUUAGCGGAAACUCAUGCAGAU
rnacentral:lncRNA from 1 species